UUAAGCGACUAAGCGUACACGGUGGAUGCCCUGGCAGUCAGAGGCGAUGAAGGACGUGCUAAUCUGCGAAAAGCGCCGGCGAGGUGAUAUGAACCUUUGACCCGGCGAUGUCCGAAUGGGGAAACCCAGUGCAAUUCGUUGCACUAUCGUUAACUGAAUACAUAGGUUAACGAGGCGAACCGGGGGAACUGAAACAUCUAAGUACCCCGAGGAAAAGAAAUCAACCGAGAUUCCCCCAGUAGCGGCGAGCGAACGGGGAGCAGCCCAGAGUCUGAAUCAGCUUGUGUGUUAGUGGAAGCGUCUGGAAAGUCGCACGGUACAGGGUGACAGUCCCGUACACGAAAGCACACAGGUUGUGAACUCGAAGAGUAGGGCGGGACACGUGGUAUCCUGUCUGAAUAUGGGGGGACCAUCCUCCAAGGCUAAAUACUCCUGACUGACCGAUAGUGAACCAGUACCGUGAGGGAAAGGCGAAAAGAACCCCGGCGAGGGGAGUGAAAAAGAACCUGAAACCGUGUACGUACAAGCAGUGGGAGCACCUUCGUGGUGUGACUGCGUACCUUUUGUAUAAUGGGUCAGCGACUUAUAUUCUGUAGCAAGGUUAACCGUAUAGGGGAGCCGAAGGGAAACCGAGUCUUAACUGGGCGUUAAGUUGCAGGGUAUAGACCCGAAACCCGGUGAUCUAGCCAUGGGCAGGUUGAAGGUUGGGUAACACUAACUGGAGGACCGAACCGACUAAUGUUGAAAAAUUAGCGGAUGACUUGUGGCUGGGGGUGAAAGGCCAAUCAAACCGGGAGAUAGCUGGUUCUCCCCGAAAGCUAUUUAGGUAGCGCCUCGUGAACUCAUCUUCGGGGGUAGAGCACUGUUUCGGCUAGGGGGCCAUCCCGGCUUACCAACCCGAUGCAAACUACGAAUACCGAAGAAUGUUAUCACGGGAGACACACGGCGGGUGCUAACGUCCGUCGUGAAGAGGGAAACAACCCAGACCGCCAGCUAAGGUCCCAAAGUCAUGGUUAAGUGGGAAACGAUGUGGGAAGGCACAGACAGCCAGGAUGUUGGCUUAGAAGCAGCCAUCAUUUAAAGAAAGCGUAAUAGCUCACUGGUCGAGUCGGCCUGCGCGGAAGAUGUAACGGGGCUAAACCAUGCACCGAAGCUGCGGCAGCGACGCUUAUGCGUUGUUGGGUAGGGGAGCGUUCUGUAAGCCGUUGAAGGUGUGCUGUGAGGCAUGCUGGAGGUAUCAGAAGUGCGAAUGCUGACAUAAGUAACGAUAAAGCGGGUGAAAAGCCCGCUCGCCGGAAGACCAAGGGUUCCUGUCCAACGUUAAUCGGGGCAGGGUGAGUCGACCCCUAAGGCGAGGCCGAAAGGCGUAGUCGAUGGGAAACAGGUUAAUAUUCCUGUACUUGGUGUUACUGCGAAGGGGGGACGGAGAAGGCUAUGUUAGCCGGGCGACGGUUGUCCCGGUUUAAGCAUGUAGGCGGAGGUUCCAGGUAAAUCCGGUACCUUAUUAACGCUGAGGUGUGAUGACGAGGCACUACGGUGCUGAAGUAACAAAUGCCCUGCUUCCAGGAAAAGCCUCUAAGCAUCAGGUAACACGAAAUCGUACCCCAAACCGACACAGGUGGUCAGGUAGAGAAUACCAAGGCGCUUGAGAGAACUCGGGUGAAGGAACUAGGCAAAAUGGUGCCGUAACUUCGGGAGAAGGCACGCUGAUAUGUAGGUGAAGCCCCUGCGGGUGGAGCUGAAAUCAGUCGAAGAUACCAGCUGGCUGCAACUGUUUAUUAAAAACACAGCACUGUGCAAACACGAAAGUGGACGUAUACGGUGUGACGCCUGCCCGGUGCCGGAAGGUUAAUUGAUGGGGUUAGCGGUAACGCGAAGCUCUUGAUCGAAGCCCCGGUAAACGGCGGCCGUAACUAUAACGGUCCUAAGGUAGCGAAAUUCCUUGUCGGGUAAGUUCCGACCUGCACGAAUGGCGUAAUGAUGGCCAGGCUGUCUCCACCCGAGACUCAGUGAAAUUGAACUCGCUGUGAAGAUGCAGUGUACCCGCGGCAAGACGGAAAGACCCCGUGAACCUUUACUAUAGCUUGACACUGAACACUGGUCCUUGAUGUGUAGGAUAGGUGGGAGGCUUUGAAGCGUGGACGCCAGUCUGCGUGGAGCCGACCUUGAAAUACCACCCUUUAAUGGCUGGUGUUCUAACGUAGACCCGUGAUCCGGGUUGCGGACAGUGUCUGGUGGGUAGUUUGACUGGGGCGGUCUCCUCCCAAAGAGUAACGGAGGAGCACGAAGGUUAGCUAAUCCUGGUCGGACAUCAGGAGGUUAGUGCAAUGGCAUAAGCUAGCUUGACUGCGAGAGUGACGGCUCGAGCAGGUGCGAAAGCAGGUCAUAGUGAUCCGGUGGUUCUGAAUGGAAGGGCCAUCGCUCAACGGAUAAAAGGUACUCCGGGGAUAACAGGCUGAUACCGCCCAAGAGUUCAUAUCGACGGCGGUGUUUGGCACCUCGAUGUCGGCUCAUCACAUCCUGGGGCUGAAGUAGGUCCCAAGGGUAUGGCUGUUCGCCAUUUAAAGUGGUACGCGAGCUGGGUUUAGAACGUCGUGAGACAGUUCGGUCCCUAUCUGCCGUGGGCGCUGGAGAAUUGAGGGGGGCUGCUCCUAGUACGAGAGGACCGGAGUGGACGCAUCACUGGUGUUCGGGUUGUCAUGCCAAUGGCACUGCCCGGUAGCUAAAUGCGGAAAAGAUAAGUGCUGAAAGCAUCUAAGCACGAAACUUGCCCCGAGAUGAGUUCUCCCUGACCCUUUAAGGGUCCUGAAGGAACGUUGAAGACUACGACGUUGAUAGGUCGGGUGUGUAAGCGCAGCGAUGCGUUGAGCUAACCGAUACUAAUGAACCGUGAGGCUUAACCU
rnacentral:rRNA from 1 species